rfam:Oryza glaberrima chromosome 9 Oglab09_0172_12, whole genome shotgun sequence.
AAUAAGUGCAGUUUUGCACUAUUCACAUUCAACGUUUGAUUGUUCGUCUUAUUUUAAUUUUUUUUAUAAUUAGUAUUUUUAUUGCUAUUAGAUGAUAAAGCAUGAAUAGUAUUUUAUGUGUGACUAAAUAUUUUCAAAUUUUUCACAAAACUUUCAAAUAAGACAGACGAUCAAACGUUGGGCACAGAUAUCCACGACUGCACUUAUU